UGCAGCAGAGGUGGGGGUGGUGAGGUGGAGAGAAAGCAUCAUGCUUGUUAUAAAUACUAUGUGGGAGUUGGAGGGAGGAGGAAGAAAGUAAAGACUUCUGUUCUGUGUAGCGUGUUUUAUUUACUUUUUUUGUUUAAUUUUCAUGAGAAUGUGGAAGAAAAGAUGGUGGCGGUGGUGGGAGGGAGAAUCAUGUUUCUUUUUUCGUUCUUUACUUUAUUUAUUUAUUUGGUUGUCUGAUCCUAACGACACAAGGCGAUGCAGAGGAAAUGCAGCAGAGGUGGGGGUGGUGAGGUGGAGAGAAAGCAUCAUGCUUGUUAUAAAUACUAUGUGGGAGUUGGAGGGAGG
rnacentral:lncRNA from 1 species